GUGUAUAGAAUGGUUAAGGCCUGAUGCACUCGAUCGUUAAUGGUGAAGAUACAAAUAUUGCUUGUGAAACAAAGAUGCAUCACCAUACCCAUGUUUUGUUUGUCAGCGUCUUCCUUCGCAUAUGUGGAGGAAUACCAUUGGAUUUCAAAGUAGUGGACCUUACACAUGAUCACAGCAAUACAACAAUAUACUGGCCUGGAACUCCAGAAUAUAACUUUACAAUCCUAGCUCGUGGGAAUACGACCGG
rnacentral:lncRNA from 1 species